AAUCAACGCUGGCGGCGUGCCUAACACAUGCAAGUUGAGCGCUUAAGGGGGGCACCCCAAGAGAGCGAGCGAACGGGUGAGUAACGCGUGGGUGAUCUUCCUUCGAGUGGGAACAACAUCGGGAAACUGGUGCUAAUUCCGCAUAACAUCUCAGGACCAAGAGUUUUGAGAUCAAAGCCGGGGACCGUAAGGCCUGGCGCUUGAAGAUGAGCCCGCGUCCGAUUAGCUAGNGGCGGGUAAUAGGCCCACCAAGGCUUCGAUCGGUAGCCGGCCUGAGAGGGCGGACGGCCACACUGGAACUGAGACACGGUCCAGACUCCUACGGGAGGCAGCAGUGGGAAUUUUCGCAAUGGGCGCAAGCCUGACGAAGCAACGCCGCGUGGAGGAUGAAGGUC
rnacentral:rRNA from 1 species